rnacentral:rRNA from 1 species
AGCUCCACUAGCGUAUACUAAAGUUGUUGCAGUUAAAAAGCUCGUAGUUGGAUUUCUGACAUUUUUUAUGUUCCCGGUCGUCUAUUUACGUUCUUCUCUUUACGAGUCGAAAAAGCUAAAAGAUUGGUACUGGCGAACGUGUGUCAUCCUUCCGCUGUCUGUCGUGAUUUCUUUUAUUAGAUUUUUUCGGCAAGGCGCGGAUCGUUUACUUUGAAAAAAUUAGAGUGUUUAAAGCAGUUUCGUAUGAAACAUUGAAUCUCGCAGCAUGGAAUAAUAAGAUAGGACUUUGGUUCUAUUUUGUUGGCUUUCAGGACCAAAGUAAUGAUUGAUAGGGAUCGUUUGGGAGUGCUUCUACUCUAGCGCCAGCGGUGAAAUGCUUGGAUUGCUGGAAGAGAAACUCAUGCGAAAGCAUUCACUAAGGAGAUUUUCUUUA